GCCGGUGUAGCUCAGCUGGCUAGAGCAGCUGNUUUGUAAUCAGCAGGUCGUGGGUUCGAGUCCCUCCAUCGGCUCAA
rnacentral:tRNA from 1 species